rnacentral:lncRNA from 1 species
GGGGUCCUCAUGGGUAGGAUAAGCAGUAUUGGACUGGCCCUUGAUUGAUUGAUAGGAUCGUCUCCUGCCCUGACACUCCAAUAAGAUACAGUAGACUAAGGUCCAGCUGCUGACUGUUAGCUUUUGCAAUUGAAUCUGGACCCUCACCAGGCUGUUACUCUGCAGAAUGCCAAGGACCAGAGGGGUUGAGAGAGAUACUGGUCCCACAGAAUUUGUCAGUACGUCCAACCGGCCUCACAACUGCAGACCACGUGUAACCACGCCAGCCCAGGACCUCCACAUCCAGUUUCUUCACCUGUGGGAUCAUUCUGAUUGGCUGGGCCUGGCUCCCCAGUGGGUGGAACUGGCUGCCAAGUGGUUAUGCCCUCCCAGGCCCAGCCGUGGCUGCACCCCUGCCCAGUCAUGUGAAAUCCAUAGAUUAGGGCUAAAUUAAUUAAUCAGCCGUACCAGUGAUUGUCCGGGAGGCAGAGCAGGCAACAGAUGGCACACAGACAGCAGAGUUGGGGACAGAUAUGCAGGGACAGACUGGCAGAGACAUGGGAGUCUCAGAUAUGGUAAUGAAGUUACCCUUCUGUACAGCUCGAUUCUCUCUGUAGCUGCUCAGAGUUCUCCUUUUCUCUCUCUCCACCUUCCUCGCCGCAGCUGUGACUUGUGAAGGACCUGAGCCCUAGGACCAUGCCUCAGGACUACCUGGUAUGAUGACUCCUUGCUGUCCCCAGUCCACCUGGCCGUGCUGCUGCUCCAGUUUCAACUGUUCUGCCUGCGGCUAUGGAACCCUGACCUGUUCACCGGACGUGCUUGUUGCACCCUCGACAACUACUAUGAUUAUUAUUAUUUGACCAUGCUGGUCAUUUAUGAACAUUUUAACAUCUUGACCAUGUUCUGUUAUAAUAUCCACCCUGCACAGCCAGAAGAGGACUGGCCACCCCUCAUAGCCUGGUUCCUCUCUAGGUUUCUUCCUAGGUUUUUGGCCUUUCUAGGGAGUUUUUCCUAGGGAGUUUUUCCUAGCCACCGUGCUUCUUUCACAUGCAUUGCUUGCUGUUUGGGGUUUUAGGCUGGGUUUCUGUACAGCACUUUGAGAUAUCAGCUGAUGUACGAAGGGCUAUAUAAAUAAAUUUGAUUUGAUCUCCAGCCUUGUCCUCGUCAACACUCACACCUGUGUUAACGAGAGAAUCACUGACAUGAUGUCAGCUGGUCCUUUUGUGGCAGGGCUGAAAUGCAGUGGAAAUUACGUAGCUAGUUCAUUAGCU